AGUACUUGGGUGUGGUUUUUAACUUAUGCACAAAGACUUAUAGACAGGUACAAAAACUAAAUCCCUUUGUAAUCCAGAAGUCAUUGUUCAAUACAAAUCUUGAUUCAUAUAAGGGGAAAGA
rnacentral:snoRNA from 1 species